GACAGAGGGUGCAAACGUUGUUCGGAAUUACUGGGCGUAAAGCGAGUGUAGGCGGUUUCCUAAGUCAGGUGUGAAAGCCCCGGGCUCAACCCGGGAAGUGCACUUGAAACUGGGAGGCUAGAGUAUCGGAGAGGUUGGUGAAAUUCUCGGUGUAGAGGUGAAAUUCGUAGAUAUCGAGAGGAACACCGGUGGCGAAGGCGGCCAACUGGACGAAUACUGACGCUGAGACUCGAAAGCGUGGGGAGCAAACAGG
rnacentral:rRNA from 1 species